rnacentral:rRNA from 1 species
CAGCCGCCGCGGGAAAACGGAGGGUGCAAGCGUUAAUCGGAAUUACUGGGCGUAAAGCGCACGCAGGCGGUCUGACAAGUCAGAUGUGAAAUCCCCGGGCUUAACCUGGGAACUGCAUUUGAAACUGUCAGGCUGGAGUCUUGUAGAGGGGGGUAGAAUUCCAGGUGUAGCGGUGAAAUGCGUAGAGAUCUGGAGGAAUACCGGUGGCGAAGGCGGUCCCCUGGACAAAGACUGACGCUCAGGUGCGAAAGCGUGGGGAGCAAACAGGAUUAGAUACCCGCGUAGUCCCUGUCUCUUAUAC